GGCCUUCGGGUUGUAAACUGCUUUUGUACGGAACGAAAAGGCCCUGGUGAACAACCGGGGUUGCUGACGGUACCGUAAGAAUAAGCACCGGCUAACUACGUGCCAGCAGCCGCGGUAAUACGUAGGGUGCGAGCGUUAAUCGGAAUUACUGGGCGUAAAGCGUGCGCAGGCGGACAUGCAAGACAGAUGUGAAAUCCCCGGGCUCAACCUGGGAACUGCAUAUGUGACUGUAUGACUGGAGUACGGCAGAGGGGGAUGGAAUUCCGCGUGUAGCAGUGAAAUGCGUAGAUAUGCGGAGGAACACCGAUGGCGAAAGCAAUCCCCUGGGCCAGUACUGACGCUCAUGCACGAAAGCGUGGGGAGCAAACAGGAUUAGAUACCCUGGUAGUCC
rnacentral:rRNA from 1 species